CCCUACGGGAGGCAGCAGUGAGGAAUAUUGGUCAAUGGUCGGGAGACUGAACCAGCCAAGCCGCGUGAGGGAUGAAGGUACAGAGUAUCGUAAACCUCUUUUGUCAGGGAACAAAGGCGGGGACGUGUCCCCGGAUGAGUGUACCUGAAGAAAAAGCAUCGGCUAACUCCGUGCCAGCAGCCGCGGUAAUACGGAGGAUGCGAGCGUUAUCCGGAUUUACUGGGUGUAAAGGGCGUGUAGGCGGGAAAGCAAGGCAGAUGUGAAAACCAUGGGCUC
rnacentral:rRNA from 1 species